rnacentral:rRNA from 1 species
GAACUGGCCCGGCAGGAUGCCGUGUGCUGUUCUCGCGUCGCAUUCCGCUCCGUCGUGGGGGUCGGCGUGUCGCCCUCUCGGGGGUCCGCCGCGUCGGCCACUCUAAACCCGCACGGGGCCGUUUACUUUGAGAAAAUGAGAGUGCUCCAAGCAGCCGAAUCACAUUCGGGCGUUGAAUCAUGCAGCAUGGGAUAAUGGAACAGGAUCUUGCUCCGCGUUUCGUUGGUUUUUGGGUGCGAGAUAAUGAUUAACAGACACGGGCGGGGGUACUGGUAUUCACAUGUCAGAGGUGAAAUUCUUGGAUUUUGUGAGGACCAACCUAUGCGAAAGCGUCUACCUAGGACGUCUUCAUUAAUCAAGAACGAAAGUUAGGGGAUCGAAGAUGAUCAGAUACCGUCGUAGUCCUAACCAUAAACGAUGCCGGCUAGGAAUUCGGAGACGUUACAAACUUUUACGACUCCCCGAGCGCCUUUUGAGAAAUCAAAGCUUUUGGGUUCAGGGGGGAGUAUGGUCGCAAGGCUGAAACUUAAAAGAAUUGACGGAAGGGCACCACCAGGCGUGGAGCUUGCGGCUUAAUUUGACCCAACACGGGAAAACUUACCAGGUCCAGACAUAAGAAGGAUUGACAGAUUGAGAGCUCUUUCAUGAUUUUAUGGGUGGUGGUGCAUGGCCGAUCUUAGUUGGUGGAGUGAUUUGUCUGGUUGAUUCCGUUAACGAACGAGACCUCCGCAUGCUAACUAGUUACGCCGACCUUCUCUCGUGGGUGAAGCGGUGUCGGCGCGGCGCUGCCCUAACGGGCUCGUCCGCCCGCCGUGAAUCCCCUGAUGUGUCGGCGGCUACACUUCUUAGAUGGACUCCUCGUGUCGAGCGAGGGGAAGUUGGAGGCAAUAUCAGGUCUGUAAUGCCCUUAGAUGUCCUGGGCGGCACGCGCGCUACACUGGGGGGCGCAGCGAGUAACCACCUUGGCCGAGAGGUCUGGGUAAUCUGCUAAUGCCCUCCGUGUUUGGGAUUGUCCCUUGCAAGUGGGACAUGAACGAGGAAUGCCUAGUAAGCGCGCGUCAUCAGCGCGCGUUGAUUACGUCCCUGCCCUUUGUACACACCGCCCGUCGCUCCUACCGAUUGGAAGGUCCGGUGAGAUCUCGGGAUCGACCGCGCACUCGCGCUGGGCAACCAGCGCGGCGCGGUCGAGAACCUGCUCAAACCUUAUCUUCUAGAGGAAGGAGAAGU